CCCAAAAUGCUGGGAUUAUAGGCAUGAGCUACCAUGCCCAGCCAAGGAAGUAUCUUCUAUUUCUAGUUUGUUGAGUGUGUUUAUCACGAAAAGGUGUCAGAUUUGGUUAAAUGAUUUUUCCACGUCCAUUGAGAUAAUCAUGGAUUUUUUUUCUUUGUUCUAGGAAUGUGGUGUGUUACAUUAAUUGACUUUCAGAUAUUAAAAAGAUAUUUAUCCCCUGCAUUCAGAUAAAUUCCAGUUGGUCAUGGAGUAUCUCUCUUCCUGGAUUCAGAAGAUCGGUGUUCACUAUACCAUCCAGGCUGGUCACCAACUCCUGGCUUCAACUGAUCCUCCCACCUCAAGCCUCCUGAGUAGCUGGGAUCACAGGCACAAGCCAGUGGACCCAGCUUUAAUUGUUUAAGUGUUUGGUAGAAUUCAUUAUUGAAGCCAUUUGGGUCUGGGCUUUUUUGAUUACUAAUUCAAUCUCUAUUUGUUAUAGGUCUUUCCAGAUCUUCUGUUUGUGUCUUUAGAGGAAUUUGUCCAUUUUAUUUAAGUUACAGUGUUUUGGGCCUAAGCAAUUUUAAGGAGAAAGUUAUCCUUAACCAAGAUGGGAAAGGUCAGGGCAGGGUAGUGCAGGGAUUUUACCUCCCACCGGGUCCCUCCCACAAACUCCCCCUAAUAUAAUACCAGCGGAGUUUGGGCUGUGGCUUUGGAUGUGUUGAGUCUCAGAUGCCUGUUGGACCCCCUCAUGGAAACGCUGGUGGGUGGUUGGAUGAACAACUCACCGGCGUGGCCCAUGUUGGAGACUGGGAAUUGUGACCACAGAGAGAGCCUUUAGAGCUGUCAGACAGGAAGAGGCACCAAGGAGCCAUUGCUGAGGUGGAGGGGAAGUUGAGGCGUGGUGCUUGGGCCUAGGGGCAGCACUUGGGAGUAGCCAGCCUGAAAGGUUGAGGGGUCUCCAGCUUACGGCCUGGGAGCUGACUCAGAUUUGGCGAGUGCAGGUUUUGUGGAAUGGUGGUGUAUUAGUCCGUUUUCACAAUGCUAAUAAAGACACACCCGAGACUGGGCAAUUUACAAAA